CUAACUUAUUCCGCGAAAAACGAAUUGCAGACGGAAGAGAUAUGGAGCCCCCUCAUGUGUUGGAAGAAGCAAGAAGCUAGGUAGGAUGUUACAGUAACAACAAGGUACACCCAGUGUCCAUUAAAAAUGGUGGAAUAAUUAAAUUCGCUCACUGAUUUACGCCUUCAAUCAACUGCUAGUUUAUGCUGACAAUCAACCGUGCAACAUUCACACCUGAAUUUAUCCCGUCAAUCACAUAUUUACAGUAGCAAUAGAAUAGAAUAAUCCAUAUGAGAAGUAUCAAGGACUGUGUAAUACACCUGUGCUCAUUUGCAUAAAUAACAAGCGUUUGUGAUUGAUGUACUGGGGUUAGCUAGGCCUUACAAAGUCAGUCGUCUUCACACAUGCUGCUGAUGGUGACAUGCCUGGCUAUAGCCUGAGCUGAACAGUUCAUCUUACGACAGUCUGAGAGCUGUUACUUCGACAGUCUCUAUGUACCAACAGAAAAAGUGUCAACACUGGAUGAUAUACCGUACAUAGGUAGAACAACAGGAUGUUGAAUAACAGCAGGUUUCUGAGCACCAAAGGAAAGGGAGAAAAUUUGAGACAUGAUCAACAGGUGAAAAUAUUACUGGUACCACUCUCUUGCUACUGUUGGAGGAUGAGGAGGAGGAUAAUACCGUAGAAAACCUCUGCGAGGUUUACAGAGACAGGCCUAUAUUUUGACAUGGUCACACAAUGGGACAUGGUCACACAAUGGAGACAGUGAGAACAAGGUGAAGAUCUAAACAAAUAGCUUGUCAAUAUGGUGCGUAACAAAUACAUCCAUCUGGUUGAUCUAUUAAGUUAUGCGAAAUGGUUGCAGUCCAGCUCGCUUUUUUAAAAAAGAAUUUUCCAUCUGCUAAUGCAUUUUUAAGCCUGGCACUCACUUCGCAUGACGGUCGUCGGCCGAAGUGAUUCUAUGAAGAAUGCAACACAAUUACAAAGAUCAGUUUAGAAUACCACCGACAAUCAGCAGACGGCAUUGCGUCGUCUGGCGUUCACAGGAAGCGGAGUUAGAUUCAUCGUACUACGUAGAAAUCCGGCUGCAUAUCCUAUCCUCUAAUGUCGCUCAACUUCAUGAAGUGGACAUGGAAACCAAUUUGCAGCAUUGCAGAUUACAUCUGUACCAGUCAAAUAAUGUCAUCACUCACCACGAUCUUGAUGAAUCCAUGUACAGGCAAAAUUCAGCCUAACACAUCAUCAUUAGUUUUUACAAAGUUUCCACCAAUCACAAGUUACGAAUAUCCGAGCCAACAUGAUUGAGAGAACCAACCUUGCCAUCAGCUGAGAGAUUGGAGAGGAGGCAGUUGUUGAUUUUCAAUGGAACGCUGUCACCAGCUGGAAGAUGAAAGUGAUUUAUAUUGCUUCGUUGACAUCCAUGAUGGAAAGGCUUCUUGUCGAAAGCUUUUCAGGAAGAAAAAGAAUUGUAUUAUAGUUCAUCUUCUGUCAAAAGACUCCUUGAACUGCUGACUGGUGUUACGAACUAUAGCAAGAAAAAAUCUCCAUCAGGUACGGAUGCCAAUCUUCUGGCAGACAUCACAUUUGUAGUGUGUGUGGAGUUACUGUACAGUGGCUGCCAACUGAUGCCUCAAUAUUUAUUAUGCUAGAACUUCAACAAAGAUGGUGAUAUGUAGUCAUCUGAAGAUAGUACAGUAUUGCACUAUGUUUAAUAACAUCAGUUUUUUUGUAUAAGAAGUUCAAAUCAAUGAUGUAACAUAACUUGUUUAAAUACACAUUGCUUUUAACCCACGUUUAAGAGUUCCAUGUAAAACACAAAAUGGAUGGUGAAUCCACGCACUUAUUACCAAUCAUUCUAGUCUGCGGUUUUAUUUAGGGAACUUCUUCAAAAUGUGAUCCCAAGAUACAAUGCGUUUUGGUCUCAUUUUGUAACAUUUGUCUUAUAUGUGACCCUUAAAGCCUAUUGUUCAAUGUCUUCUAGGAUUAUAGCGUACCAAGGAUAUUAUUAGCAUAUUUAUGAGGUUGAUGCUAAUGUUUUGAAAAUAAUAAUGUUGCAGAAGGCUAGCCCCUUAAGAUUAAGUCGUAAAAAUAGUUAUACAAGUCUCAAACCAUAAAAUUAUUUGGACAGUGUUUUUCUCAUUUAUUAUGGCAGAUUUUUUGAUAAUUCAAGUCCAUUGGAUAGAAUAUUUCACAGAGCAGUCAUAGUAAAACAUUAAUAACACCUAAUUGGAAACACGUUAAGGUAAAAGAACUUUUAAAUUCAGAGACUCAAAACAAUGGAAUAAUUUACCUGCUGAAUUAGUACUACUGCAACAGAAAAAAUAAAUGAAUUCAAAAAUUCUAUCUAUAUUAAUUCAAAUGUGAUUUAGUUAAGAUAUUUACCUAUUCUUACCAUUUUUUAUUAAUUUUUUUUUUUACUUUGUUUACUUUACUUUAAUUACUUUUUACUAUACUUUGUAACUGGACCAUUUGGAAAAGCAGUACUACACUACUGAAAAUGCAAUCCAGUAAAAUUAAAGAAUAAAUAAAUAAUAAAAUAUAAUUGAUAUAGCACUUACGGCAAUUAUCGUAGUCCGUAUAUGGAAGGUGUACCACAUAUAUGGCAAAAAUGUGGUCCAUAUAUUGCAAAUAUUAUGAAUAGUAAGUAUAGCAAAUAUAUUGCUUAGGCCUAUACCGUACGGUAUAUGGCUACACAUGCCAAAAAUAUGACCCAGAUAAUUGACAUAUAUGGCCAACAAUAUGAGCCACAUUGGUAAAGUUAAUUUAGAUCCUCAUAUAUGGCAUUAUUAACAAUAAUAAUCAAUACUUAACAAUAUAAAGACCCCACCAUUUUGAAAAAAAUCCCUGUAUUAAAUGAUUAUUCAUUCAUGAAAUUUUGGAGAACAGAACUAAGGUACUAAAGUGUGAUUCAAUAGAAUGAAACUAUAACUAUUUCUGGAGGCCUACUUGUUAUUUUCCCUGUUGUGUUAUAGUCGCUGCCCUUGAUCUCUUUACAGAGAAUAGCUUGCCGAACGUGUCAGACGUAUAAUAAAAUUGAACUUGAGAAUUUAAUUGCCCUAAUAAUGGGCUUAACUUCAAGUGCCACAAGAUAAAGUAUAGAAAUACUCAUGACAAUAGAUACUCGCACGGUUCUAUUCUUAUCACAUUUUUUUUUUAUCACUCCUUUUAUUACCAAAAUUGAGAUGUGUGUGUCUGCUGCUAUAACCUUCCUGGUCUGAUCUGGGGCACUAUCUGACCCAAAUACUGGUGAGACACUGAUUUCACCCGGGCAUUGAUGACUGGGGCUGGUGUGACCCAGACAGUGGUCUGGGAUACACAAUUUUUUUGUAUUAAAAAUAAUAGGUUCCACUUACAAUAGCAGAUAUUGUAUGCCAGUUGCACUGUGAAGUAUACAAGGAAGGUCAUUAUUUUGUAUCUGACCUUUUGUCUGUUUUUUUAAUAUUAAAAAUGAAAUAAACUACAGUACAGUGUUU
rnacentral:lncRNA from 1 species